rnacentral:lncRNA from 1 species
GGGAGCUUAGAUGUGGAAGCUCUUUGGAAACCAAGAAACACUCUGAAAAUGAAAAGGAUACCAACUUCAUCUCUCUUUAAGAAUACAAUAUUAGUUUAAAAGAUUGUUCAACUUAAAGCAAUCUUGUAGAGAUUGUCACCCAUGAUUGAUGCUGGCAUAAGAAUGUUUAUCACAGCAUGGCAUAUAUUGGAAGUUUAGUAAAUGAAGAUACAUCCAAUCUGACAUUCUAUUCACAACCACAAAGAGAUAAUGUAGAAACAUAUUUAGUAAUGUGAGAAAAUACUAAAUAUUAAGUGAAAAAGGUGGAAGAGUAAACUGUUCCUGUUUCUCCAUCUUGACAGGAAGCAGAAGUUCUCCUUAGCUGAUUUUUCUUCUUGCCUUAUACUGGGUUCUUUAACACCAGAACAAAAAUAAAUAAAUAAAAGAAUCUUCCAGAAAUUCAUGAAGAGACUUCAGGUCAGGAAAGCCUGAACUUUCUCAUCCAACACCCGUUCAAGUCGGAGGAUGCUGAUUAAUUCAUGAUGGAAAGGUAUCAAUUUCACAGCCCAGACCUCUACAUUCUUGAAAUGCUCUUCUCAUGGGAGACAUUAAAUAAGCUUUGAAUUAACUUGCCAUGACACCCAGGAUGCAGCUGUAGGAACACCACUGGGUCCCUGGAUGUCAUGUAAGCCCUUAAGUAAAAGUGCCAUCAAAUGAUUUCUCAGAAAUUAUAAAGAAACAAAAGGACCAUAAACAAGAUAAGGUGGCAUGAGGAAACAUUACAAGUACCUUUCAGAGCUGACUGGCAAAGAAACUCCUGAGGUGACGG